UAUGGACAGGUAUUCUCUGGGGCAGAGGGUGUGGUAACAGAAGUCUUAGUCCCGUUACAAAAUGGAGAUGCUGUUUCAUACCCUUGAACGCCUCACCGGAGUCAAAUGCAUGUGAAAUUAUACGACGAUGGCAGUUGCAGAUGAGGCAAAAGCUCCAAACAAAUGAUUUUUUUGUCCAAUGCCCCUGUAAGUUCAUGCCCGCCUGUUUGUGCCUGUUGCGUCGUGGAAAGGUGUGAAUUAUGGACGACUGUGGAGCAUUCCUGCCUGUGACUUUCACCAUUAACAACAUCAGCAAAGAAGCGUAAGAGCGCAGUGGAGAGGGAGCGUCGCACAUGGUAGAAAGAAAUAA
rnacentral:sRNA from 1 species